GGUCGCCAGGCGUAAGAAGAUUAGCUCACGGUCGUGAAUGUCUUCUGCAUGAGACCUGUUUGUGGAUAUGCCGGCGUACACUACCGUUGAUUGUUGUGAUCGUCGGCUAUCGGAACUGCAAGAUGAGGUCCAUCUGCCUGGAUUGGUUAUCAAGAAGAGCAUCCAUGGGGCCAUGGUGGCUGCCACGAGCAGACAUGCUGGGGUAUCUGGUAAAAAAGAACUAUACAAUUAUACAAUUAAGUUGAUGGCAAUGUUGGGAGUGUUUGGAGCAAUUAUUAAUAUCAUAAAGAUGUCUAACCGUGACUAUCAUUUGACUGCAACUUCAUUGGCAAAUAUGCCUCAGCUUCAUUGGGAAAUAUGUCACACUUCAUUAUUCUUGAGCGAGAAGAACUUCAUUCUAUUAAAUGGAAUUCGUGUGCUGCAAUUAGCGACUGCAACUUCCUUGGCAAAUAGGCCUCCGUGUGACUUGUGGCGCGAUGAUUUCCUCGGAAAGGUACCGGUAUGUGUGCGCCGGUAACAACUCGUCAAGCAGGCCAGCGCUACAGUUCUUUCUCUGGGUGCCAUUCGUGUCUAUACCUUAAACAUGUUCUAGGAACCGGUGGAAAAGAAUACUAGCAAUAUUGUCCAAUCAACAAGAUCAAGGUGGAGCAAGGAGGAACAGUCAGCAGAUUUCACAUUUAUUUUGCUAAAGCUGCAUGUUAUUGCAAUUAAAAAUUAGUGUGCCUUUGCUCAGCGGGCUAUCAUGGAGUUCUCGUUGAGUCAUUGUUGGGCAUGUUUGCGGCUAGAUGAUGACAGAUUUGAUCCUGCUGAUCAACACCACGUUGUCUAGAUGUUGGUCUUUCAUGGCAAGAUCAUUUGUGGAUUUUGAAAUGCUUUGUCCUUACCUAUAUGUGCUAGAGAAAGAAAGACUUCAGAAGUUCACGGCAGAACUUUGACAAGUGUUUGGCAUUGUUCGUAGACGCAAUACUCAAAUUAUCCCCGUGAUGCCAAAGUGAGUUUCUUCCUCUCAAAUUAAGCACUUGAUAUGUUUACCAUUAGUAUUAUAUUACUUUCAUCAAUGAUUAAGGUUGAUGGGUGAGGUUUUCAUCCUUAUACGUCACCAUACAUGGCAUUAUUCAUCACCAUCAUGUUUCUGGCUUAUUACAAUUUGCUUCGUAUUGUUAUAGUUGUCCUAUAAUUGCUCUUGAUAUCUUGAAUCAUCAUAUUCUUGUGUGGUAAUGAUCUGUUUGGUGGUUUUCCAUAACCCAUAGGUUCCUUCGUGGGAGAUUUUCAUGGACGCAUGGGCUGACUUGAUGUGGUUGGUUUUGUGAUCUACUAGCUUGGGUUUUCCUCUGCAUUUGAAAUAGAGUAGUAUGCCUUUAAUGCCAUCUGUACUUUUUCAUAUAAAGAAAUGAAAGGUUGUUGCA